rnacentral:SRP_RNA from 1 species
CGUGGACCCCAUGCGGUGCGCAUCUCGUGAACCUCCCCAGGGCCGGAAGGCAGCAAGGAUAAGCGGGCUCUGGCAGGUGCGUGGGGUCCCCUUUC